UACGUAGGAGGCAAGCGUUGUCCGGAAUUACUGGGCGUAAAGCGCGUGUAGGCGGUCUGAAUAGUCUGCUGUGAAAGCGCCUGGCUUAACCGGGCGAGGUCGGCGGAAACUCUCAGACUGGAGGCCGGUAGAGGGGGGGUGGAAUUCCCGGUGUAGCGGUGAAAUGCGUAGAUAUCAAGAGGAACACCUGAGGUGAAGACGGGUUGCUGGGCUGACACUGACGCUGAGGCGCGAAAGCCAGGGGAGCAAACGGG
rnacentral:rRNA from 1 species